rnacentral:rRNA from 1 species
UACGGAGGGUGCGAGCGUUAUCCGGAAUUACUGGGUUUAAAGGGCUCGUAGGCGGCCAACUAAGUCGGAUGUGAAAUCCCCAGGCUCAACCUGGGAACUGCAUCCGAUACUGGAUGGCUUGAAUUCGGGAGAGGGAUGCAGAAUUCCAGGUGUAGCGGUGAAAUGCGUAGAUAUCUGGAGGAAUACCGGUGGCGAAGGCGGCACCCUGGACCGACAUUGACGCUGAGGAGCGAAAGCCAGGGGAGCAAACGGG